rnacentral:rRNA from 1 species
UACGAAGGGGGCUAGCGUUGUUCGGAUUUACUGGGCGUAAAGGGCGCGUAGGCGGCCUUCUAAGUCGAACGUGAAAUCCCUGGGCUCAACCCAGGAACUGCGUCCGAUACUGGAAGGCUUGAAUCCGGGAGAGGGAUGCGGAAUUCCAGGUGUAGCGGUGAAAUGCGUAGAUAUCUGGAGGAACGACCGGUGGCGAAGGCGGCAUCCUGGACCGGCAUUGACGCUGAGGCGCGAAAGCCAGGGGAGCAAACGGG